rnacentral:misc_RNA from 1 species
UACGGAGGGUGCAAACGUUGCUCGGAAUAAUUGGGCGUAAAGGGUGCGUAGGCGGUUAUUUAUGUCUUAUGUGAAAGUCAAUGGCUUAACCAUUGAAAGCCAUAAGAAACUGGGUAACUAGAGUACUGUAGAGGGCAGUGGAAUUUCUGGUGUAGCGGUGAAAUGCGUAGAUAUCAGAAGGAACAUCAGUGGCGAAGGCGACUGCCUGGACAGAUACUGACGCUGAGGCACGAAAGCGUGGGUAGCGAACAGG